rnacentral:rRNA from 1 species
AGCGUUAUCCGGAAUGAUUGGGCGUAAAGCGUCCGCAGGUGGCAGUUCAAGUCUGCUGUCAAAGACCGGGGCUUAACUUCGGAAAGGCAGUGGAAACUGAACAGCUAGAGUAUGGUAGGGGCAGAGGGAAUUCCUGGUGUAGCGGUGAAAUGCGUAGAGAUCAGGAAGAACAUCGGUGGCGAAGGCGCUCUGCUGGACCAUAACUGACACUCAGGGACGAAAGCUAGGGGAGCGAAUGGG